GCAUAGGUGGUUCAGUGGUAAAAUUCUUGCCUUCCAUGUGGGUGACCUGGGUUUGAUUCUCAACCAAUGUA
rnacentral:tRNA from 1 species